rnacentral:rRNA from 1 species
GAGACUGCAAGCGUUAUUCGGAUUCACUGGGCGUAAAGGGUGCGCAGGCGGUUGGGUGUGUCAGAUGUGAAAUCCCGAGGCUUAACCUCGGAACUGCGUCUGAAGCUACUCGACUAGAGUACUGGAGAGGGUAACGGAAUUCACGGUGUAGCAGUGAAAUGCGUAGAUAUCGUGAGGAACACCAGAGGCGAAGGCGGUUACCUGGACAGUUACUGACGCUCAGGCACGAAAGCAUGGGGAGCAAAAGGGAUUAGAUACCCCUGUAGUCCAUGCCCUAAACGGUGCACACUAGGUCUUGGCGGAUUCGACCCCACCAGGGCCCAAGCUAACGCGUUAAGUGUGCCGCCUGAGGACUACGGUCGCAAGACUA